CCGUAGCUGACGAGGAGGGAUCAUUA
rnacentral:rRNA from 1 species